rnacentral:rRNA from 1 species
AUGAUGACCAGUACAAGAUGUUGUGGGAUUAUGGCCAAGAGCUUAGAAGGACUAACCCAGGAAGCAAGUUUUUCUUGUGCACAAAGGAGGUUUUUGACAAUAAAACUAAAGAGACAAAAAAUCACUUUUCAACACUAUAUUGGUCAUAUGAUGCGUGUAAGAGAGGGUUCCUUAAGGCUUGUUGUUGUUGUUGUUGUUGUUGCAUGCCAGAAAUCUAACAGAGCUACCACCCUCCCCUUCCUCGGGCAAACUGGGGUGCGCCUAAUGCACCAGCAACACAACAGCCUGUACAUGCAGCCUGGAGCUUAUCCUGGUGCACCACCAUAG